UCACGGAUUUCGUUUUUUAUCAAAAAAGCAUCAUCAUUUUAGAUUUAUAGACACAAUCCAAAUUUUUAAUACACUGAUUAAAAUAUUUUUAUUUCCUUUUUUUUUCUUCUUUACUUUUGCUUGUUCGUUUUUCUCUUUUCGCUCCCAAUUUGGCUUCCUUCUCGCAGUUUUUUCUUCUCUUUCUCUUCCCGCUUUCUCUCACUCCUCCUCCUCCACCAGCCCUAUAUUUAUGCCGUGCUUCGCUUUCUUACCUAGUCCAUUCCUCCAUUAAUUGAUGCUGGCUCUGGUAUGGCACGUGAAGAUGAGGCUGCGCUAGAAUGCAUGACCGCGAAUGGUACCAGCGAAGGGGUUGCCGUAGGAUUUGAGGACGAUCGGAAUGGAGAACGCGUCAAGCGGGAGCGAUGA
rnacentral:lncRNA from 1 species